GACGAACGCUGGCGGCGUGCUUAACACACGCAAGUCGAACGGUAAUGCACUCCGGGGUACACGAGUGGCGAACGGGUGAGUAACACGUGCGUGACCUGCCCUGCCCUUCGGGAUACGGCUGGGCAACUGGGACUAACAACGGAUAGGAACACUGCUCGCUAGGGUGGUGUGGGGAAGCUUUUGCUGUGUGGGGUGGGCUCGCGGCCUAUCAGCUUGUUGGUGGGGUAAUGGCCUACCAAGGCGACGACAGGUAGCGGGCCUGGUAGGGUGACCGGCCACACUGGGACUGAGAUACGGCCCAGACUCCUACGGGAGGCAGCAGUGGGGAAUAUUGCACAAUGGGCGCAAGCCUGGUGCAGCGACGCCGCAUGAGGGAUGACGGCCUUCGGGUUGUAGACCUCUUUCAGCACCGACGAAGCGCAAGUGACGGUAGGUGCAGAAGAAGGACCGGCCAACUACGUGCCAGCCGCCGCCGUAA
rnacentral:rRNA from 1 species